AUGCCACCUUGUCGUGGUGACAUCCCAAGGUUGCCUUGGUGCACGGAAGGCCUCAGGGUCAGAGCAGCUCUUGGGCUUGCUCAGUGCAGGAGCAUCCUCCUGCUUGAGGCGUUUGUCAGUGGGCAGCUGCACACUGACAGGAGCCGUGCUUGUUUUUGUGGUGGAGCAGAGUGUGCAAACUGGCACAGCAGUGCUACAAUGAUGGAGCAGCUCGCUGCUGCCAUUUGCACCAUCUAUGUCAUUGGCUACUCCGGCUAUUUCCUGACCAACCUGGCACGUCAUGUGAGCCGUGUGUUCAGAGGUGCCGAUCCUGAGAGCCCAGAAGCAAGAGCAGACUCUGCUGUGGCUCCCUCUGCUCCUGGAGAAGAGGCCAAAGAGGAGCAAAUUGAGCAAAAGGAGCACGAGCCUCCAGCUGUGGUCACAGCCCAGCCUGACCAUGCCCAGACAGUAAGUGCCAGUGCUGGGUGCUGCUGUCUUUAGUGCAAGGCAGAGCUGCAAGUUUCUGAGCAGCCAGCACUUGCUGUUGCUGGCUGAGGAUGCUGAGUGCUGGAGUCCUGCCAGCACCCAGCCAUUCCCCCAUCCCGUGGCAGCUGGAAAUUGGGCUUUGAGCCGUCGUGCUGAGGCCCCAAAGCGCUGCUGCCUGCGGGUGAGCAGCUGGCUGCUUGGCUCAGGGAAGCUCUGUCUCUUGGCUUCUGCCAAGCCAUGGCCAAGGGCUCACACGGCAUUUCUGGGGCUCACAGGGCUUGCUUUGUUUGCUUUCCCUUUUUGGAAACCUCAGGAUGACCUGGAGAAGUGUUCUGCAGUUUUCUGGAGUAAUUCUUCACUUCUGCAGAGUCUUUUAGGCCACCUGUCUUUUGGCUUUUGAUAAGCUGCAAUGAGAUGAUUGUGUUGUCCAUGAAGCUGUGGCCGGCCAUUCUUGUCCUGUGUGGCCAAAGAAACAAACUGUGUAGUUCUGAACCCUUCUUCUGAGGCAAAAUCCACAAGUGGCAAGUUUCUCUUGAUACGUUUUGUGGUGAAGUCUGCAGCUUUGGAAACUGCAUUGGAGCCUAGUGUGGGGGCAAAGCUGCAAGUCCUUGAGUGCUGUCUUGUGUUGCUAAGAACCCCUUUAGAGAUGGUUGUUUUUUCUCCUCAGAGCUGUUUUCCUCCUCCUGCCUCUUCUGUCCUGACACUCCCUGUUUAACCUAUAAAUUUCUGCCUGUCCUAGUGAGGUGGGACAAUUCCAUGGUUUAGGUGGUUUUUGCUGACUUUGGUCAUACAUGCAUUACAUGACACAUGGCUUCCUUCAUUGGCAUCCCUAGGGGUGUGUCAAUUAAUUUGUUGGUGGGGCCUUUUGAGGAUCUCUGUCAGUGCCACUCAGAAUUCUCAGCUGACAAAAGAGGGAGGAGAAACACCUUGGUCCUCUUCCAUAUCCUGAGGUGGCCAUAGAGGCUCUCUGACCUGCAGCAGAGGAUCCAAUUGCACACAUCCUUGUCUCCUGACU
rnacentral:lncRNA from 1 species